GCGUAAUAGCUCACUGGUCGAGUCGGCCUGCGCGGAAGAUGUAACGGGGCUAAACCAUGCACCGAAGCUGCGGCAGCGACACUAUGUGUUGUUGGGUAGGGGAGCGUUCUGUAAGCCUGCGAAGGUGUGCUGUGAGGCAUGCUGGAGGUAUCAGAAGUGCGAAUGCUGACAUAAGUAACGAUAAAGCGGGUGAAAAGCCCGCUCGCCGGAAGACCAAGGGUUCCUGUCCAACGUUAAUCGGGGCAGGGUGAGUCGACCCCUAAGGCGAGGCCGAAAGGCGUAGUCGAUGGGAAACAGGUUAAUAUUCCUGUACUUGGUGUUACUGCGAAGGGGGGACGGAGAAGGCUAUGUUAGCCGGGCGACGGUUGUCCCGGUUUAAGCAUGUAGGCUGGUUGUCCAGGCAAAUCCGGAUAAUCAAGGCUGAGGUGUGAUGACGAGGCACUACGGUGCUGAAGUAACAAAUGCCCUGCUUCCAGGAAAAGCCUCUAAGCAUCAGGUAACAUCAAAUCGUACCCCAAACCGACACAGGUGGUCAGGUAGAGAAUACCAAGGCGCUUGAGAGAACUCGGGUGAAGGAACUAGGCAAAAUGGUGCCGUAACUUCGGGAGAAGGCACGCUGGUGUGUAGGUGAAGUCCCUGCGGAUGGAGCUGAGACCAGUCGAAGAUACCAGCUGGCUGCAACUGUUUAUUAAAAACACAGCACUGUGCAAACACGAAAGUGGACGUAUACGGUGUGACGCCUGCCCGGUGCCGGAAGGUUAAUUGAUGGG
rnacentral:rRNA from 1 species